ensembl:lncRNA
AUGUCUGGCCGCUCUCAUUUCUGCAAGUGUGUAAAUGUGUCACUGAACAGAAGGUGCUUUGCAACAGUUGGCUCUGACCGGAGACCUUACUCUCCUCAAUAUAAGCUGACCACGAACCACUGCUGUCUGAGAUGCUGUCCGCACACGCCAGUCUGGCCAGCGGGCGAGCCAGAAAUCAGAUAUGUAACUGGAUUUCCCAAGCCCACCAACAUUUUGGGCAGUGUGAAAUGCAACCUUUCCAUGGCGUACCAAAUUCUGAAGAUCGGUUCCCAUCGUCACCAUCCCCCAGCACCUCAGUGCCCAGCCCUGCUCAGGGGAAAUCUGGACAUGGAAGCCAAAGCUGCCCCUUAGAAGCGCUUUGUGUUUCCUUCCAGCCUGCAUCUAGCUAUACUCUAACAUGAGGACAAUCUUCUAGAACAGGUCAGUUACCUAACCUCCACCACCCCUCACAAAAAUAUUUCAAUAAACAUGAUACUCUAGGAAGAGGCACCUUGUUUAUCUCGGGUGACCAAGUGGCCCUGACACACUGCCAUGGAUCUCCAGGGCACAUUUUGGUCCCAAAUACAGAUGUGUGGCACGGCAUCAUCAAAUCCCACGUCCCAAGGGUAGGGAAGCAAGAACACAGGGCUGAAGGGAUGGGCGAAGACGAGGACGGAGGGAGUGUCUUGGAGACCGGCUGCUUUUGCAGGCCCUCAGAUCAUGCAGAGGCGGGGGGGGGGGGGGCNAGCGCAGGAGUCGCCAGAAAACAGCACUCAUGGUUCUGUGUGAAAUGGAACCAAAUAACCCGCUAUUGGGGCAGCAUCUGAGUUUAGCACCGAAUACAUCUGAAUUUAGUUCCUUUCCCAUCCCCAGAAUAAUUGAAGAUGUUGCCAUACGAAUUUGGGAGAAAUGCCUGCGUUUGUAUGUGUAGUAGUCCCAACACCGUAAGUGUGUGACUUGAAAACAAAUCAGUGGCUCAAGAAAAACCCAACAAGCAUGAUCACUCCAAACGUGGUAACCCGAGCUAAGAGCAUUUCAAGGCUCCAGCUCCUGUUCUGCCGUUGCUCACAGCAUGCCUCGAUUACGCCUGGAUGUCUUCAUCUGUGUAAUGGAGCUGACCCUCUGUUCCUCCCUCCCGCCCAGGUUCCUUUGAGAGUCCGUCUGCUGUGCCUAGGAUCCAAUUUAAAAUGGGAAUGGCCAGAAUAUGACUUUGUCAUUGGAAUGGCCGUGGUGAAUCUUGAACUUUUCUAAUCCCAAAAGCAGAAACAGAAAAUGACAUCUCAAAUCUCAGCAGAACGGGGAAGAAUGGGGGCAGGUCCCAGGAGAGGAGGUCGAAGCUGUAAGCGAGGCCAGGGACCACACUUCCCAGAGCAUUGUCCCUUUUGGGACUCUGUGUCUCUGCGCUGGCCUCUGCUGACCUCUUUGGCCAAUGGUUUCUCAAGUACACCCUGAAGACGCCACCUGGCCGUGGUGCCUGGCUUCCCGUUCAUGGUUAAAGGUAACAUCUCUCACCUUCCUCCCUACAAGGAAACAUCUAAAGUGUAAGUAGCCUCAAUAGCUUCCCUAGCACAGACGGAAGUGGAGACUUGUUCCUCCAGCCCACCGGAGGCAGGAGGCAGGUGUGGGAGGAGGGUGGAUUACCAUGGCAACCAUAACCUUGCUCCUCCAAUCGCACCUGCCUGGGAAAGGGUAGGGGAGACCGUGGGAGCAAUAUCGUGGCCCGUGACGUGGACCACACACAAACAGAAUCACUGGGACCCCAGCUAUCCUUGCCUAGCUGGGUCUGAAGUGUCUGACCCCUGCUCCUUUCUCUCCUUAAAAGCUGUCCCUGCUGCUGUUCUGGAGUGUUCUCCAACCCUCUGUUAGACCACUCAAGUAGGAGCCACUGAUUUUAGAGCUCCAUCUGCACAUGCCGUUGGCACUCCACUACCAUGCUCAGGUGAGGAAUCCAUCUCUAAUGUCUACAGUUCGCUACUGGACUCUUAAAGGCUAGGUAAGCGGUUGCCUGUCUCAGAGAUCUUGGGACAUGUCCCGCCAUGGCUGGAUCAGAGGCCAUCUGAAUGGCAUCGUCCUGUGUGAUCCUCGACAACACCCCACCCAGUCCCCCAGGUCACAAACCAAGGCUGAGGUCUUUCAACUUUCCCUGCCCCAUGCCUUUCCUCACUCCCCCACCCCCACCCUGCCAUCUGGCUGCCUCAGCCAUGCAAGCAGCACUCUUGAAGGACGUGCUCGCUGGCAGCCCAGCCUUCAGAGGCCACUGCUCAUACCCCAGAGUUCCCAAGAGGAACACUCACUUAAGAGUUCUCACUUAAGAGUCCCACUCUAGAGCCAUUUUAUCUCUCACACAUUCUUUUCAUCCAGAGAGCCCACUUUGCUUUCAGUGAUCAAAGACAUCCCCAGGAGGCUCUGGCUGUCUUCCCUCACCACCAGCAACCCCCACCGCCACCCCACCCAACCCCCACCGCUUUGAUGUGGUCAAGCAAUCUCUGAUUAUUGUUUCGAUCCAGACCCUUUGUGGAACCCUCUUCGUGAUCUGCAGGGCCUCCUAUUUUGUCCCUUAGAUGGUAUAUUAUUUUUACAGGCAGCCACAGCGAAGGACCACAAGCUGGAUGGCUUAGCACGACAGAAACGUAUUCUCGAGGCUAGAAGUCCAAACGAAGGGGUGUUCCCUGCAAUGCUUCCUCUUAAGCCUCCCCGAGCAUCCCUUGGCUUAUGGCCACGUAAUUCCAGUGGCUGGCUGUCUCCUGUGUCUUCACAUCACCUUUUCCUUGUGCAUGUUUGUACUCAAACUUUCCUCUCUCAAGGAUUGGUUUUACUGGGUUGGGAGCCCGUCCUCUUCCAGUUCACCUGAUCCUAUUUUAACAUAACUAAGAACAUCCGCAAUGACUCUAUUGCCAAAUAAGGUCACAGUUUGAGGUUCUGGGCUUAGGAUUUCAAUAUAUUUUUAGGGAACACAACUCAACCCAUAACAGAGGGUAUUCACAUUUGGGAAGUGUAAAACUCUCCCCAGUGAAGACCUCUUCCUCCUUAGCUUAAUUGGAGAUGAUUGUUUUACCUCUGUGUCCUGGGCUUUUAAUCUAUACAACAACAACAAAAGUAACACAGCAAAAGAAAAAGAAAACAGAAUGCAAAAGACAAGUUGCUUACCUGUGACAGAGAGAUCACAAAUACAAUUUAUGAAAUCCGUCUGAACGGAGCACACAGACUCCAAUUUUUCUCUCCAUUAUCUUACUAGUUAUAGUUACCCUUUUACUGUUCUUUAACGGUUACCCUACAGGCUACAACACGAUUGCUUGAUUUAUCAAAGUCCAAUAUAAAUUCUUACCUUUACUUCUUCCCAGACAGUGCCUGGACUUUGGAACUCUAACUCCAUUUACCCAUUUCCCAAUUGAAAUGAUUUCGCUUUUGUGUAUUUUAAUUUGAUUUCUAUAUUUUUAAACCCUAUAAGACAUCAUGAUUAUUUUAUUUAGUUAAUAUCCUUUUGAAUUUACCCUCUUCUUUGUGCUUUCUUCC